UACGUAGGUGGCAAGCGUUGUCCGGAAUUACUGGGUGUAAAGCGCGUGUAGGCGGCAGACCAAGUCGGCGGUGAAAGCGCCCGGCUCAACUGGGCGAGGUCCGUGGAAACUGGUCAGCUGGAGGACGGUAGAGGCGAGUGGAAUUCCCGGUGUAGUGGUGAAAUGCGUAGAGAGUCGGGAGGAACACCUGUGGCGGAAGGCGGCUCGCUGGGCCGGUCCUGAACGCGUGAGAGACGGAAAGCUAGGGGAGCCGAAUGGG
rnacentral:rRNA from 1 species